CCGCCCUCCCGCACUCCUCCCCCGCAGCCAGCUCCUCCCGCCUCGCCUCUCUCUCUCCCUCCAAACCCUAGAACCUUACCCGCGCCUCCCAGACCCGCCGUCGUCGUCUUCUCGCCCAACCGGCCGCCAUCGCACCGCACGCUCGUGCGCAGGGGCGAGAAGGGGAACCAGCGCCCGCUCCCGGAGCGCGAGGAGGAUGUGGUGAUGCAGCGCCCAAAUCCACAGGGGGGGGGGAUCGACGCGCCGUCGUCGACCUGAGCCGCCACCGUCCUCGAGGUCGGCCAUGGAGGGGGGUCCGACCCAGCUGCAGCCGUGGACGGCGACACCCCAAACCCUAGCAUGGGGACCAAGCAGCCAUGGAAGGAGGCCAGCGGCGAGGACGAUGCCAUGGUCCCUGCUGUGCUCCCGGAUCUGUCGCCCAUCUGCCCCGACCUGGCCCUUCUCAUUCCCGCCGGCCAAGCGAAGCCGCUCGUGUCGCUGUUCUACCUGACGAGGGCAUCGUGGUUGCCGUUGCUGUUUGCAGAGACAUUCGAGGAUAGGUCAUGUUGCUUGCAAAAUGGGGAGGGGAUUAGAUGAUGUGUGGCAUACACUGGCUCAUUUGCAUAUACAAAAAAAUUAGGAUCAAUAAAAAAAAGGAUGUAGUGCUGGGUGCAUAGCUGGUUGCAUUUCCAUGACUGUUCUACACACUAGGCAUACUUUGUGAUCUGCUUAUGAAUUGUGAACUGGAGUGGAAAAUCACAUGCUUUUAAUUUUGGGAAGAGGUCAGGACAUGUGCCUUUUGGAUUGGUCUGGUGCAUUUGGAUUGGUCCACUUGGCUCGUGUCUGUUUAGUCUUGUGUUUUUAAUUGGCACCUUCAUGUUUGCUUGCUGGAAAAUGAUGUUCUUUGUCGAGUGACAUGUGAAAAAACGAAGGGUUCGGUUUGUUUUGUGUUGGAUUGAUGCUUCUGAAAGAGAAUAGAAAGAAUGGCAUGUUCAUUGGCCUCUGUUGUUUGGUGUGGUCUGCCUAGGUUAUUAUGAUUUGGUCUCCCUAGCCGUUGAUGAAUGCAUUAAGCGAACAUUUAUUAUACUAUCUAUGCACAUAUUAUCUCAGAUCAGCAACUUUACUUGUCUUGCUCUAUAUGGAUAUCCUCUACUGUUUCUGUAAAAUAAAUAACAAAUUCAGUUUAUUCAUUAUACAUAAAUUCUAAUAUAAUGGGCAGCUAUUUUCUGUUAGUAUACUUGAAAUGAUAUUGAGGUAUGCUCCCCUGUUUUCAUCCAUGUACUACGUAGAUGUAGACUGACAUUUAAGCUUUGAUCAUGAAUUCAUAAAUAUGACAUCAGUCCAAAUAUUCCAGACAUAAACUAUUCCCAUGAGAGGUUAUACUUUGUGUUGGAUGGAUAUUUCUGUAUAGGAAAGAUAAAUUUAUUCUUUAUCAACCUACGGUUCGAUGUAUAGCAGUGGGAGUGAGCUCUUUAGGUAAUGAUCUUGCUCUAUCUGAUGCUCAUGGGGCAAAGAAUGUCAUUCUUACCCUAUAGAUUAGUAGAUUAUCAAAAACAAAAUGCCCCGUAUUAGUAUUAUGUGGCUAGAGCGCAACUUUGAAAAGGCCAGCCUUGCUCUAUCUGAUUGUUGAUUUAUAUAUUUUCCUCUAGAAAUGAACAAGCUUAUUUUAUGGUUGUGAAUUGAAAUGACCGAUGUUUCAUUACUUCUUGAUUAUUGACCUCUUUUUACAUUGGCCAGUCGUAUAUAAAGGUUGCACUUACAUUUUUUUAUAUGGAAGAUGUCAAAGAGUUCGCUUAAAACUGGCACGACCUACAUAAGAAAGAUAAGAUGGGUGCAUUUGCUUUAUUUUAAAAAUACACUGAUCACAAAUAUUUACAGAUUUCUUAUCAGUAGUUUGCAUAAUUGUGUUCUCUAACUGAUCUGGUAUUUCAUUUUUAUCAUGAUACUAUGCAGAUACAAAUUAGUGAUUAUCAAUUGAUAUUUAACAUCACAUUUGGUAGUGGAAGAUUUAGUAAAAUAAGGGUCGUUGUUGGGUGCGUGGCUACUUCUCCUUGGGAUUCGGCUACUGUCUCAGGUGCUCAAUGUACUACUGCAAUACAUGCACUGCAGUUACCAAUCUUCGUUUUCUUAGUAGUAUUGAUGUGUUAUUUCCUUCGAACUGUCUUGUUGAGAUUGCCUUCUCCAUUUGGAGGUAUCUCUUUCUUAGUUUGUUGUGGAUCCAUGAUAUUUUAGUGAUUAUAACUGGUUCAUAUAGACGGCGAACUGUAGUUGCCAUUGUGGCUGGUGGGAAAUUUAAUAAUAGCUGCAUUUUGGUUCUCUAUGUGCCUUGACUAAAAUAGUAAGAGAUGGUUCUGAACCAAAGGAUCGGUUCCUCAAUUCCCCAGUUCGUAAAAUUGUUCAGUCUGACCACCGGUUACCUGACUAGAAUGCUUCCCUGUUCACCUUUUCUACUAAAAGUCAAACAGUGGCAUUAUUCCUUUUUUGAGUUAUAUGUAUGGAAUCAGUGACGACCAAAGCACGCAAAUUUACUGUCCUAAGUAUAAGUAAUGUGUCUGUUUGGGUUGUUUGCCUACAUGACAUGCAUUCUAUAAGGUGCACGUCUCUUUGGUCGCUGAUGUUAUAUAUGUUUACUCAAAUAAUCAUGAGAGUUUAUGUCUGAGUAAAUGUUCAUAAGAGGAUAUAAUGUGAGUAUACAUGUUAAUAUUAUUAUAUUGUUUCAUCAGAUUUGUUUGCUUAAACGAUCCAAGAAUUGAAUGAACAAUUGUAAUGAAGGACCCCUCUCUCCACUUUGAAAAAAAUACCCUUCCUAUUAAUUAUGAUAUAUACCUCCUUGAUGUGCCUUCCUAUUUUCCUAGCAUGUGCCAUUUAGUUCCUUAAUUUUUUCUACUCUGCAAUUUAACUUUAUGUGUUUGAUUAAGCUUUGCAAAUUGUUUUUUACUGAUAAACAAUGAAACCUUCCUUACACAGGUGGUUUGCUACAAGCUUUAAUAAUAAAUUUCCUUUGGAUGGUUCACAUUUUAUUGAGAAACAACUGUGGUGACACAAUCAUUAGUAGAAAAGGGUGCAAUGAUCCAGGCCGGGUCAGCCCAUUAGUCCCGGUUCAAUCCAGAACCGGGAUCAAUGGGGGCAUUGGACCCGGUUCGUUAGCCCCGG